rnacentral:tRNA from 1 species
UCUAGUAUGGCAGAUUAGUGCAAUGAAUUUAAGAUUCAUAUAUAAAUAUAUUUAUUUUUCUAGAA